rnacentral:lncRNA from 10 species
GGCUGACUCUCUUUUCGGACUCAGCCCGCCUGCACCCAGGUGAAAUAAACAGCCUUGUUGCUCACACAAAGCCUGUUUGGUGGUCUCUUCACACAAACGCGCAUGAAAUUUGGUGCCAUGACUCGGAUCGGGGUACCUCCCUUGGGAGAUCAAUCCCCAGUCCUCCUGCUCUUUGCUCCGUGAGAAAGAUCUACCUAGGACCUCAGGUCCUCAGACUGACCAGCCCAAGGAACAUCUCACCAAUUUCAAAUCUGGAACGCGCAUGAAAAAACCAAACAAACAAAAAAAUUUCUUUUGGUAGCAGAAUAAAAAAACAAAAAAAAGGACUUUUUCUUCUGGACUGAACUAUAUUUAAAUCUCAAAGGAUGGACAUCUCACAACCUUCCUACAGCAAGUACUGUGAGAGCUGCAUCUUGUCCCACUGGAUGGUCUUCAGAGACAAUAAUACAUAAUGGAGCUGUCAUCUCCUAUGAUAACAAUGCCUUCUUCUGGAUACCUCCUGAAGGACCUGCCUGAGGCUCUUUCACUCCAUGUAAAGGUGUGCUGCUUUCCCUUUGCCUUCCGCCAUUAUUGAAAGUUUCCUGAGGCCUCCCCAGCCAUGCUACCUGUACGACCUGUGAAACCAUAAGCCAAAAAAGAUACUAGCGCCAGUCUGGCAGGGGCCUUUUCUAGUCUCAAGCACGCUGAGCAGUCCUACACCUUGCCUUCUGAGAGAGAAGAGGACAGUCCUCAGCCUCCUGAAGCCUGGCAAGGGUGCCUUAGUGAGGACAUCACCUGCAACUCCCAGAUGGAUAGACGAGGCCAUGGAGAGAGGAGAACACCAACCCAUGAGUGACAAGUGCCUGUCAUUGUCAAUGAUGCUGCAAGCACCACGAUGCCCCUUCUUAGCAGGGACCCAGUGGGCCUUACCAGCUUCAUUAUUUUCUAGGCAUGAUCGCAUCCUGUCUCCCAUUUUUGCUAAAAUUCUAUCUAGAGAAAGAGCUCAUUUUUAGCUAAAAAAAAAAAAAUCCUGUUUUAUCUGCUAAAAAAUCACAUAAAAUAACUAUUGGACUGUUUGAAA